CUAAUUUGUCUAUAAAAAGAUUAUAUUACAUGUACAUUUUCAAGCUCAAGAUAUUCUAAAACACGAUUUAUUCUAUUUCUCAAGGAGAAAUGAAGAAAUCAACAGUCCUGAAGUUUUUUCUUGUCCUCCUCUUGUCACAUGCAACAUCAAUAAUAGCUCAAGAAGUUGAGGACGAGUCGGAAUUCAACUACAUUCCAGGGGAUAAAAGGGGGCCGGAGAACUGGGGAAACAUCAAAGAAGAAUGGGCGAAAUGUAACACCGGCAAAAAACAGUCACCCAUCUUCAUAUAUCCCCAGCUACCGGAAAGAAUCCCGGAGUCGGAGAGGAUCCUAAGGUUUUAUCAACCCGGUCGUACAACUCUCAAAAAUAGAGGCCACGAUGUUAAGCUUGACUGGACGAACGGAGGUGGAAGGAUUCGAAUCAAUGGCACCGAUUAUAUCCUACAACAAUGCCACUGGCACUCUCCGUCGGAGCAUGCUAUCAAUGGAAGGAGGUAUGCUUUGGAGGCACACUUUGUACAUCAAAGCUUAGACAACAAAAUCGCAGUAAUUGGAUUCCUUUACGAUUUUGGGAAUCCUGAUCCUUUCCUUUCUUCGAUUGAAGAAGAAUUAAGUUUGAUCUCAGAUAAUUCAUUGGACGAAAUAAUGGCUGGUACAGUUCAUCCAUCAGAGGUUCAAAUGGAAGGAAGUAGUUAUUAUAGAUACAUGGGCUCACUCACAACCCCUCCUUGUGAUGAAGGUAUCAUUUGGACAAUUGAAACCAAGGUAUGUGCCUAUUUAAUAUGAAAACAUUUUCGAUCGUUCCAAUAUUAACAUUUGUCAUAUAGAUAUAUUCUUUUAACUCUGCAUAUACCUUAAUUGUUUGCUCCAUAUUCUUAUUUGAAGUCAAAGUUUAUCAACUUUGACCAAUAAACUUUGACUAUAAAUUUUUGCUGAUUUAUAAGAAAAAAAUAUGGUCAAAAUUUUUAUUUUCAAAUUAUCAAACGAUAUACCCGAGCUCAAACUUGAGUACUUGUUAAUGACAAGCUAAGCUCAAAACGAACUUCUAAUGAACCAAUACUGACUUGUUAGCUAGCCAAUAUGGCUCAGCUCGGGACCACCCCUUACACUUGGGGUUAAAAAAAAUGGUGAAAUGAUCAUAAAGACUGACAAUAAAUAAAGAAAACAAAAUACUUCGUACAAUUAUAGUUGACCUAUUCUUUGUCAUUAGGAAACAAUUUGAACACAAGUUGAUU